rnacentral:rRNA from 1 species
UUACCUGGCCUUGACAUACUAAGAACUUUCCAGAGAUGGAUUGGUGCCUUCGGGAACUUAGAUACAGGUGCUGCAUGGCUGUCGUCAGCUCGUGUCGUGAGAUGUUCGGGUUAAGUCCCGCAACGAGCGCAACCCUUUUCCUUAUUUGCCAGCGGGUUAAGCCGGGAACUUUAAGGAUACUGCCAGUGACAAACUGGAGGAAGGCGGGGACGACGUCAAGUCAUCAUGGCCCUUACGGCCAGGGCUACACACGUGCUACAAUGGUCGGUACAAAGGGUUGCUACCUCGCGAGAGGAUGCUAAUCUCAAAAAGCCGAUCGUAGUCCGGAUCGCAGUCUGCAACUCGACUGCGUGAAGUCGGAAUCGCUAGUAAUCGCGGAUCAGAAUGCCGCGGUGAAUACGUUCCCGGGCCUUGUACACACCGCCCGUCACACCAUGGGAGUUUGUUGCACCAGAAGUAGGUAGUCUAACCGCAAGGAGGACGCUUACCACGGUGUGGCCGAUGACUGGGGUGAAGUCGUAACAAGGUAGGCGUAGAUGA